GUUUCAUUGGACAUGCGCAUAACAAACAUAAGCCCAUAUGUGAACCGAAUAAAUGAAGCGGUGCGUUUCAUCAAGCGGGACACGUGUCGACACAAAAUCAAGCGAGUUUAUGACGUGUCUGCCUGUGUGGACACCCUAGGAGAGAUUCAAGCUCUAUUUUAUAUAAAUAGAUUCAGUUAACUCUCUCCUCCUUCCGCCAAGUCAGCAUCCAGCCUGGAAACUCAUGCUCUCUGUGACCGACACGUCGGAUUACUGAAACAAAGCGUGUUGGGCUCGCGCGUUGGGCUUCUGCUGUAAAUUGCUGUGUUGUGUAUGGCCCUAAUAAUGAAAAAAAAACUAAGGAAUAGAUCUUCUGCUCUUCGGUUUCAUCGAUGCGACGGUGAAGCAAUGGCCUUUGAGUUUCGUAACGGAGGUGUCGUGAUUACUCCAGAAUGGUUUCUCGAGCGUUGUAAAUGGUUUUCGCCUCCCUGGAAGAAACACUAUCGAAGCUGGUUUUGAUAGAGUAGUGGAGAUCCAUGUAGCACACAUAUACUUUUCAUGAAGGACACUGUUAAUGAUCGAACCUGGCCGAACCGACGCUUACAGCGGAUCUCUCGAGAACAGAUGCAGAUUCGCACUAGAAUCUCAUUUUCCUGUUUAAUGGUUAACUUAUCAAUUCUUCUUGCUGAUUUGAAGGCUGGCAGGUAUUCUUCCAGGGUCGAGGAUCGUAGCUCUAUCGGUUCACAUGAUCAAUCAAGACCCAAACUGUACAUAUUCAUCGAAUGAAAGUGGAAUUAUGUAAGAUGUUCAGAGUUUCGGUUCGUUUUACAAGUGGUGAUCAUGAAGGAUCGAGCGGCUCAUGGCUUUGGUUUCUUUUUUUCGCUGGUCGCAGUGUUUUUGUGAGAGCCACCUUGCUCAUUCACGUCAUUGAUGUUAAAAUUAGGUUUCUGCUCCUCCAAGUAAAUCUAUUGUUUUAUUCAUUCCUGUUUUUGCCUAUGCUCUUCUGCAUUUGUCGCCAAAGGUGGGUUUGUUAUUUCUCAACGCCAUGUCAUGAACUUGCAUCUACUCUGACUCAGAAACAGCUGCAGGACAGUGUUACUAUGAGAGAUUUUUCAAAAUGAUCAUAUACGCAUUAGAUAGGUCAGAGAUGGCAUGGCAGCAGCAAGAACAUAAACAAAAUAUCGUCAUUUUGCAGAAGAUUGAAUAUCUCACCGUAGCAGAACUAAUAAAUAUGUCAUAAAAAGACAACCUCACGCGUUACGCAACUCUAUUAUUUAACUAAACACUAACCAUGUUUGGUGCUUAAUGAUUUUCCACUGUUUUUUCAUCUAUUCCAGUCAAUGUACGUUAUCUGUACCGGCAAAGUGAUGGGAAUUCAAUCUGACAAUGGCUGGUGUUGAUCGAAGUGCUCCAAGAAGCUCCAGCGAGGUGUAACCAACAUUUAGCUUAACAGAAUUUGAACUUACUUUGCAGCUAACUUCACCCUCUACCCUUAACUCUUAAUUUGGCAUGUGUCAAGGUGUUGUAUUGCAGUUACCGUGUGGAUUUGUCCAUUUCAGAUGAAUCGAUGAUGCUGUCUUCGUAGGUACAGCUUUCACGAGUCACAACACCUGGUGGUCUCAAAAUACUUGACGAAACGGCUGCAACAAGCCGUAAAAAUAGUGUAACUAAUAUUGUUUACAGAUUGAUUUUCAAAGACCUUGGGACAGGUGGCAGCUAGGAUAUGUGAGCAGUUUACUUGAUAGCAACAACAAGGCUACUUCCUUCAAAACAAACGUACUGCCAACAAUCCAGUAACUGCAAUAGCUGGGAGUGUGUCUUCGUUCAGCUGUGUCCCCAAGAUUUCAUAUCUAAGCUUAGUGCAUUGAAUCACCAGCCACCCCCGUGGUUGGUUGUUGUUUUCAUCUUAAAUAUGAGAAGAACAUUUGGGCAUAUAUAUAACUUAAAUAAAUGGAUGCAUCUGUUUUAGAGUUGGCAGCCUAUGAUUUCAUUGAUUUUGCAAAUCAUGCAGUCAUGGAUAUAUUCUACUCUUGCAUACAAUCAUCUGUCUACUCAAGGUUCAUGCUUCAAUAAGAACUUUAUAGCUCA